rnacentral:rRNA from 1 species
UACGUAGGGGGCAAGCGUUGUCCGGAAUCAUUGGGCGUAAAGCGCGUGUAGGCGGCUCGAUAAGUCUGCUGUGAAAGUCCAGGGCUCAACCCUGGGAUGCCGGUGGAUACUGUCGGGCUCGAGUCCGGAAGAGGCGAGCGGAAUUCCUGGUGUAGCGGUGAAAUGCGCAGAUAUCAGGAGGAACACCAAUGGCGAAGGCAGCUCGCUGGGACGUGACUGACGCUGAGACGCGAAAGCGUGGGGAGCAAACAGG